ensembl:lncRNA
CGUGUGUAGGUGUGUGUGUGUGUGUACAGUACGUGUGUAGGUGUGUAUGUGUGUGUAGGUGUGUAUGUGUGUGUAGGUGUGUGUGUGUGUGUGUGUGUGUGUGUGUGUAGGUGUGUGUGUGUGUGUGUGUGUGUGUAGGUAUAUCACCGUUUCAUGUGUAUGGAUCAGAAAUAUGAUUAGGUGGAUUUUUAUUUGCCUUUGGAGUUUGGACUUUAUUUCUUUAAAUGCUAAAAAUCCAGAUUACAUUUUUUCUAUUGAUUUUGAAAAUGAGCUUUUAGGUGUUUUCUGUUCGACUAAAUUCAGUAAAGUUUUCUGAACACUCUAGUGCAGCUGUGUCAAACUCAUUCCACGGAAGGCCGAGUGUCUGCAGGUUGUUGUUUUUUCCUUUCAAUGAAGUCCUAGACAACCAGGUGAGGAG